ensembl:lncRNA
CCACACUGAUGGUCUUGUGGUUUUGUCCCUUGUCAACUAAAGAAGUUAAUACAGCAUCACCAUGUCCACUGCUGUUCACACUGUAUCAGACGCUGACAAUGAGUGCUGACAAGUGGAUAUUCCUUUUAGCCUUUUGCUUCAUGCACGCGUCUUCAAAUGGUGAGCACUUAUACGAAGAUUAUCACGAGGAUAAUCAGUGUGAAACACAGAAACUCAAGGCUUCUCUUGGCUCGUCUGUGUUCCUACCGUGCAGCUUAUCAACAAGUAGCCAAAACUGGGUGACAUGGACCCACAAUAGUGAGGCAGAGCUGGCAAAGCUCUUCUUUGAAGGGCGCGUCAAGUUCCUGGACCCCAGACAUGGCAGAGUGAAAGCUUUUCCAAACCAGGUCUCAGAGGGAAAUUUCUCCAUCCGCAUCGAUGAGCUGAACAACUCUGACCUGGGCAGCUAUCGCUGUAUACAGGGAGAUUACUGUCAAAAAGUGGAGUUGCUUGCUGACAGUACACUGAGCGAAGAGAUGAGGCUACUGAUUGUCAUCAGCGUUGCUGCUCUCAGUUUGCUGAGUGUUGGUGGAUACUACUUCUGCAAGGGACGCAUAGCAGGUGCCAGAGCUCCACCUGAGGGAACAGGCAGGGCAGUAGUACAUGAACAGCAGACAGUAUCAACCAUCUAUGCCUGACUUAAGACAAAAAAGCAGCAGAUUUCCCUCCCUCUGCCCUGGGUCUGGAAUUCACACAUUUGUGGACCAUCAAGCUGGUUCCAGGGUUUCCUUUUAAUCAACAGACAUCCUCCGAGGCUGACAGACUAAUCAACCUGCGACACCUCUAUCCAAACAGUGGGAUUCAUGUUUUAAAGAGGCCUAAAACUUACAUUUUCAACCAAUGAACAAAGAAUAUAUAUUAAAAUAAGAUAUUCUGGAAUAAAAAAUACAUUGAAGGAAUACUAUCAAAAAAAGUUUUAAAAACUACUAAUAUCUGUAAAGGUUUGUUUUUAGUAGGUUUAUAUACAGUAAAACAAUGUAAUUUCUCACAUUACAUGAGAACAUAUUUUCAUUUGUAAUAAAAAAUUUUUGAUGAAGCUAAUGUGUAAAGUUUUGGCCAGUUUUCUGUCUGAUUGGAUGCUUGUUUUACAGUCAGAAAUUGAACUGAUUUCUUUUUCCUUCCUGUGAUUUUACUGGAUAUUAUCUGCAAUUUAACAACACAAGGAAAUUCUGUAAAAUACAGUUCUAAAAAAAGUAUUUUAGACCCUACUGUACAGCAAACAUCUGUAAAAUUAUUACAUAUUUUGUUGAUUUAGAUACAGCAAAAAUGGUGUAAUUUUACAGUCAAAUGUAAAAGAACAAAUUACCUCAUACAAAAAUAAAACUUUUGAUGCGGAG